CCUACGGGAGGCAGCAGUGGGGAAUAUUGGACAAUGGGGGCAACCCUGAUCCAGCCAUGCCGCGUGUGUGAAGAAGGCCCUCGGGUUGUAAAGCACUUUCAGUGAGGAAGAACGCCUGGUGGUUAAUACCCAUCAGGAAAGACAUCACUCACAGAAGAAGCACCGGCUAACUCCGUGCCAGCAGCCGCGGUAAUACGGAGGGUGCGAGCGUUAAUCGGAAUUACUGGCCGUAAAGCGCGCGUAGUUGGCUUGAUAAGCCGGUUGUGAAAGCCCCGGGCUCAACCUGGGAACGGCAUCCGGAACUGUCAAGCUAGAGUGCAGGAGAGGAAGGUAGAAUUCCCGGUGUAGCGGUGAAAUGCGUAGAGAUCGGGAGGAAUACCAGUGGCGAAGGCGGCCUUCUGGACUGACACUGACACUGAGGUGCGAAAGCGUGGGUAGCAAACAGGAUUAGAUACCCCUGUAGUC
rnacentral:rRNA from 1 species